rnacentral:ncRNA from 1 species
AUAAAGUUUAAUUCUAGUUUAAAGAUUUAUUUAAUUUUUUUUUUACAUGUAAAUUUUUGUAUGAAUAUUAGUUAAAUUUUAAAAAUUUAAUUAAAGUGAUUUAUUCGCAGUAUUUAAUUUUAAUAAUUUAAGAAAUUAAGAAUUAGAAAUAAAUUUUAAUAUUAACAAAUUUUGUGCCAGCAGUUGCGGUUAUACAAAAGAUAUAAAUGAAUUUUAUUAGUAAAUAAUUAUAUGAAUUAUUGAUAAAUUAAAAUAGUAUUUAUUAGGUGAAAUUUUAAAUAUUAAAUUAAUUUAUAAAAAAGUUUUUAUUAUUAUGAAAUUUAUAUUUAAACUAGGAUUAGAUACCCUAUUAUUUUAAAUGUAAAAAGUUUUACUUAAGUAGUAUUAGUUAUGUUCUUGAAAUUUAAAGAUUUUGGCGGUAUUUUAGUCUAUUUAGAGGAACCUGUUCUAUAAUUGAUAAUCCACGAUUAACUUUACUUAUUUUAUAAAUUUGUAUACCGUCGUUAUUAGAAAAUUUUAGCAGAAAAUAAAUUUUUAGUAUUUUAAAUUAAAAAAUAUAUCAGAUCAAGGUGCAGUAUAUAUUUAAGAAGAAAUGGGUUACAAUAAAUUUAUUUAUACGGAUUAAAGUAAGAAUAAACUUUAUGAAGGUGGAUUUAAUAGUAAUAAAAUUUAAUUAAAUUUUAUGAUUUUAGCUCUAAAAUAUGUACAUAUCGCCCGUCGCUCUUAUUAUAAGGUAAGAUAAGUCGUAACAUAGUAGAUGUACUGGAAAGUGUAUCUAGAAUGAA